GUGUGCGUGUGCGUGUGUGCGCGCGGGCAUUUUCAGAGUCUACAUUUUUCUCCGAGUUUGACUACUCCAAGACUGGCUAUCCGCCUGGGGCAAAAGGAUGCGAACCUUACAAAAGGUGGAGUCUGGGUCGGCCAAAAAAUGUUGAAAGUUUGACUUGCUCUCUCCUACAAGCGGAAGAAAGCAAAUAAAAUCAGGUUCUGGGCUGGAGAAAGCUUCAGAUAAACUAGAGGCAAGAAGGGGAAAAAGCUCUGCAGGCUUUUCUUCAACUUGGCGGCGGCUGCUGCUGCUGCAGCCCCAGCCCCUCCCGGCACUCGCGCCUGAGCUCCCCGGCCGCUGUGCGGUACCCUGAUGAGGAAGCUUGAGACACAUAGAGGUUAACGGGUGAAGGAUCUUGCCCAAAGUCACCUGGCCGGCAAGAGCUGAGUCAAAUUGCUACCCAGGCCUGAAAGAAACAGAGAGGUGUGGUAUCUGACCCCCGAAUCUGGAAUACACUGCAGUGCCCAGCGUCCUCUGGAUCAAAAGGCAAGUGAGCAUGUCCAUCGGCAUGAAUCAGAUUACCAGGGAUCUGUGUAUGGAUUGAACAUGAUGUCUCCAAAGUGCAUGAAAGACCACGGGGUGUCGUGUCAAUAUGCACACGUCACAGAGAACAGUUCCUGGUCCAUAUCAAGCUCUAUACAUGUGUUUGCUCCUACCGACGUCAGUAUCAGCAUCCUCAUCCUCAUCAUUACGGGAAGUAGCAUAACCGUACUAUAAUGAUAAACAGAACAACAGAUACAAAAGUAUGAAGACAUUACCUCCCCCCAUGUCCUAAUUUUUAAAACUGCAGAGAAAAAGAACUGGAAGGCAGUAGACCACGUAUUAAGUGUUUUUCUCUUGAGUGUGAAAUUCUAGAUAAUGCCCAAAUAACCUUUUAAUGUGCUGUAUCUUCAUUGUUACAUAGCCAGUUUUUCUAUUAUAAUUUUAAAAUAGUUUUUCUGAAGACCUGUUCUCUCAGGUAUCUUGACGUUUCAGGAUUAAAAAAAAAUUGUUUUGGUAUCCUUGCAAAGUGAAAACCCAGUCAGCACACUUAAGUGAGGAGUAUGA